UCAAAAGUUUUAAAAUACCAAUUUCUGAAUUCUUUAUAUUGAUCCUGUUGAAAUUCAGUAUUAAUGGCCAUUCUAUCUGGGGAAAAAUCCAUUAAAACUAAUAUUCAUGAGGGUCAUUGAUGUCUGUAGGAUCGUCAAAUUGAUCCUUGACAGAUUCAUUUCCGAUUCCCAUUUCAGAUGGAGUUGGGCUGAAUUUAAUUCCAAAUUGACGACGAGACAUACCUAUUGGUGCUUUCUCGUAGACUCCUCUUGGAAUUUGAUUCUGAGACUGCUGUAUUCCUUUCAGCUUGAGUUGAUUUGGACCAACGACUUCAGGGAUUUCUUCCUUUCUGUAAUCCGACGAAAUCGAAUGGCGAGAAGGAGGACAAGAAACAUGAUAAGGAAGAUGACUUCCUUUAGAUGAUGUAGAUCUAGGUAGAUCUAAUGAUUUUCUGAAAUUCAGAAAAACAUCGCCAUCUUGGUCCUGAAUAACACAGUCUAAGCUAUGAUUAGCAAUUGGCUGUGCUGGAAUGGCAUUAGAAAUCGUCCAAUGUUCAGGAAAUGUUAUCUCACUCCAAGGAAUCAUCCUUUUUGUGGCAACAUUUGAUGUGUACAUGUUGGUAUCCCAUAACGCUGUUACUCCUUUAGAGUCUUUGCGUAUGGCAUUAGGACACUUAGUAUCAAGUACUUUGUAAUGGAUGCGAUAAAUAACACUUAUCACUUCUGAUCCAGGUAAGUAAUCAUACCCAUAGGUCUGAACACGAAGACUAAUUGCCUCAUGGAUGUUUUUAUCUGUUAAAGAUAAAUUCAGACUAGGAUAGACAUUAAAAUAAACCGGUCCAUGACAUAGACUGGUUUCCAGUGCACCCAUCAAGGAAGGGUGAAAUUUCAGACAUCGAGCAUCCCUAAGGGUUGCUUGAAUACAAGCAUCCAUACCUAAUAAGGUUAAAGGUUUAAAAGCAAUUUGAAUUAAACCUAUAUGGAUGUACUUAUAUUUGUGCAUGUGCCUCUGAAGGUCACAGAAAGACAAUAACUUAAUUAUUGUAUCUUUUGUGCUUAAUUGCAUGGUCUGUUCCAUGGUCUUGACAGUCCAUAGAUCUGUUAAAUUAAGCAUUCCGAUUUUGUAAAUGCUCUUAGCACUUACUGGAGGGAUAGUCCAUCUGUUCAAUUUAUUUUGAACAUUGGUCCAUUCCACUAAUUCAGUAUUUUUUACCAAUUCGGAAUCCUGGUUUUCCUGUACUCCAUAAGAGGAGGAGGAUGGUUUUAACAUGUCUGUUAAAUAUUGUUAAUGCUUUAAGGUCUGCUUAGUAUAAAUAUUAUAAUAUUAUAUAAUGAACAGUAAGUUACUAUUCUGUCGUCGUUCUGCUUAAGGGUGAUUCAAUUACUCGUCUGUCAACGAUUUACUGGAAACAGUACCCUGUGCAGCAAUCUAAUGCAAAAACGGGUUAAACAUUCCAACGCGACUUUUGGACGACCCAUAAUUGAAUCAGAUUUAAACAUAAGUUAGACAGAAUAAUAUUCAUAUUGUUCAUGACAUAAUUACUAUAGUAAUCAUGCUACCAGAACCUAAAAAGCAUUAACAAUAAUAAAUUAAGCCAUCAUGGCUCUGAUACCAAAUAAAGUUGAGGAUCGGCAACAUGUUCCAAAUCAGGGCCAAAUAUAGCCCACCAGGGUAUAACCCAGUUUGGGAAAUCAGCCUUAACUGAUUGAGGGCAUAUCUUGAAGAACCAAGAAUGUUUAUGCUUCGGAUUUUGAUAAAAGAACGAAUAUGUCCAAGCUGAGAUAUAAUCCCAAUUAUUGUAACUGUGACCAUAGGAUAUUUUCCUUGGCAAAUUGGGAUUUAAUCCCCAGUCACUAGGCUGUAUAAGCCUCUUAAAGAUAGCUUUACUAUAAGUAAGAGGACUAUCUUUGGAAUUCGGAAAUUGCUUCGUGUGGUUGAUCUCCACAGAGGAAGUUUCAGUAAGAAUGGCUUCAUAGAUAUAUCUAUAGCGACCAUCCGGUGCAACAUAUUGUUGAGUUUGGAAAUAUCUGGAUUUUACUUCCCAAGGAUCUGGCAUCCAUUGCUCAUCUUGAGAAUCCAGUACCAAUACUGUUUGAAUAUACCUUUGAUUAGGUAUCCUUGGAGUUUCUUGUUCAAGAACCUCUUUCAUGGUUGGUUUCUGUUGUAUUCAAGCAACCAGAAUGAUUUUCUCAAACCAUGGACCACAUCGAUCGGCAACAUGUUCCAAAUAUGAAAAUUGAUCAUCAUUGAGUGGUAUAACACUACUGGUAGUUUUCGGUGGGUUGGCAUGAUUGUCAUCCAGUAGAGUGAGAAAAUGAAAGUUUUAGUCAGAAAAGUUGAAAGAGAUAAAAGGAAGAGGGGCAAUAAUGGAAAGCACUUUAGAAAAAGUUAGAAAAAGAGAGAGAAAGGUGUUGGCAAUUAAAUGAUAGAAAGCACUUUAAAAAAAGUAGUCCCUUGAUGCAAUCUUCCGGUGAUAGUAGUCCCUAGAUGCAAUCUUCCAUCACCGGCUAGAUUUCAUCAUCAUUUUCCAUAGCAUAUUUGAUCUUCAUCUGCUGCUUUGAGUUUUAUGUGUGUUUCUGAUCUAUCUCUGUUUCUAAAUCUUUCUCUAAAUUUUAGAAUAGCUUUUAAUGAUAGAAAAGCUUUUCAAUCUAUUUGGCAAAAUAUUUACGGAAGAUCUUUUAUUAUUGAAAUAAUUAAUUUGCCCUUAGAUAAAGUAUUUUUUAAAAUUAUCAUUUAACCUGUUUUUUUGUAACUUUUUCUCUAAAUUCGUAUAAAUAAACCACUCAAUAGAAUCAAGUAUAUCCACAACAUGCCAUAUACAACAUUAUAAUUAAUAAUACUAAUAAUUACAAUAAGAAUAACAAUUAAGAGAUUGCAAAAACCUAUUUAAUGGUUUAGAAAAUUUUGUCAUUGAACAUUUUGAUUCUACUAAAAUAUAAUAAUAAGAAUAAUAAAAUAUUGAAGGUUUUUAUUUUUUCUUCAAAAAAGAAAAUAAUUAAUCUCAUGCUUUUAGACAUUCCUAGAAUAAUAUUGUUGUUUCCUUAUAAUAACAAACAAAAUUAUAUUGCAAGGAAAUUAAUGAAAAAGAAGAAGCAAAAAUAUUGCUAUGGUAAAUUAUUUGUUUUUUUAAAAGAUUGACUUGGCAACUUUAAUGUUCCAAUUUUACCCAAAAAAAAAAACAAAAAAAAAAAAAACAACUUUGACGUUCCUAUGGGGUUGAUGAUGAAACAAAUAUUAGGCUGUUAGGCAAUACAGGGAAGAGCUAUGCAGAUGAAUUAAUCUGAUUAAAAAAAAAUGCUAUGCCCGUGAAUUAAUCUGAUAAAAAAAAACUUUAUCUUUUGGAUAAAUAACUAGAAUUCAUUGUUGCAACAAAAGAGAAUUCAAUUUGAAUGUGAAAAAAAAGAUUUAAAGAUUUGUGAUGGUAGGAUGGCACGUUGAAAUAUGGUGAUUGUUUGUGGGGCAGUUUCGAAAAUAUUUAGAGAAAAUAAAAAGUAAAUAAACAUGAAGAAAUAGGCAAAGAAGAAAUAGGAAGGUCGAAUUAUAAAUUGGAAGUAUAGCCCUGCUUCUCUUGUUUAGUGGGACGCUUAGAAUUCUGCAAUUUAAUGAGUUAUUAGAACUUGAACAAUAAAGAAAGAAUAGCCCCCAACAAUAAUCUUUUUCAAUUUUUUUCUUCAAUUUUUUUUUUCUCUAGUUAAAUGUUUGAUGGAUCGUUCUUGUGAGUAUGAAGAGAUAUAUUGCCAGAGAAUACCUAUGUGAGUUUUUUUUUUUUGACACAUGCAAAAAGUUUGAAACCUUCCCCUCUAUCACCUCUGUUCAUCUUGUCUUCUCACUCUCAAAUUGCGACUCGAUAAAUUGCAUCUAUAAUGAUAAGUUGUAGAUUUCUUAAACAUUAAAGAGAGGCCUGGUCUUCUACCAUAAAGAGAGACACAAAAAGAAAAAGUGCAAGCGACAGCAGAUGCAGGCGAAGAGGCCUUGCAGAAGAUGGUAAUCCAUUCUGAUUAGGGUUUGGAAAUAGAAAUAAGGGGAUUUUUUUUUUUUUUUUUUUUUUUUUUUUUUUUUACUACAGGGAUACAGUUGAAAUUAUAUUUUUUUAUGAGAUAGUAUAAAGGGUACACUUGUCAUAUAAAAAGUUUUAUUAAUGCACCCAAAACUCUUCCCUAGUAUUUUAGAAGGCCAGCUUCUCCAAAAUGCUCUUCUAAACCCCCAAAUGCUCUUUUUGAAAACUAGCCAAAUACAGUACUACCCAAAGCAGUUUCCAAGCCUUAAAAACCAAAAACAGCGGUAUGAAAAGUCAAUCCAAAUAGGCCCCUUAAUGAAUAGCACCAAAAAAAAAUUUAAAUAAAAAAUUUUAAAUGAUCUUUUUUAACUAGUUAUUUUAUUAUUUUUUUAAUCUUUUAACAUUUUCUUAUCAAUUUAUUAGAUGAUUUUUUUAUAUAUAUAUAUUUCUAAAUGCACGGUUUGUAAUAUAUUAAUUUUUUAAGUUCGGGAGAAUUAAGAUUUAAAUAAAAGGGGGCAUUUUGGUCUAAAUAUCAACUCUUUUACUGUUUUACACCCUUCGGAUAGUUGAGGACAAUUCUUUUGUAAAAAAAUAGAUAAAGGGGGAUUUAUUGAAAAAAAAAGGCUACAAGUUGAGGGAAUUUUUUGGUAAAAAAAUAGAUAAGAGAAAUUUAUUGAAAAAUGGUACAAGUAAAUGGGGUUUUCUGUACUUUGCCCUUUUUCAAAACCACCUUUACUAUUUUUUAUUAGAUUUAUGAAACAUAAAUGAUGAUGUAAAAUUGAAAUAAACAAUCAAAAUUUUAUUAAUUGAACCGAUCGGUACUUCAUUCAUUAGCAGUAUACGGAGUAUUAUCUUAUUGCCAUUCUCAAUAUUUAAUUUUUUUCAAAUUUUUUUUUGUAAGAAUUUAUAAUUUCUUUUAAUUUAGAAAAAUUUACUAACGGUCUAUUUUUUCUUUUUUACAAGCGUACUGUUAGGAUUAAAAACUUUAAAAAGAAAUAAUGAUCUCAAAGUUUACUUUCAAUUAAUAAUAAUAAUAAAUCAUUUUUAUUUAGAUUAUUAUGCGUUCGUUGAGUAUGGUAUUAGUAAUAUAGUAUCAUGAAGUAAAAUUGAAAAAUAAUCAAAAUUUGAUUAAUUGGACUUAUCAAAAACAUUGCUUCAUUCAUCAGCCUAAUAUUGUUGUACAAUCAUUUCCAAUAUUUCAUUUUUAAAAUUUUUUUUUAUUGAAACUCUCUUAUGUUGAAGUUACCUUUCAAAUUAAUAUAGCAACUCUAUAUUUAUGAAGAUAAAGUAUUAAUUUUACAAACCUUAAAUUUAAAGUUCUUCACUUUAUUCAUUUAAUCUACUAUAUUAAUAUGUUUUUUAUGAGUUAAGUUUAAAGUUUUAUUAAAUACUUAUCUAAUGUCUUCUAAAUAUAUUAGUAUAAAUAGUAGACUUACGAAGCUUACACACAGACACACUCUCAAAACUCAAGAGAGAGGAGAUUUAAAGUGUUUUUUCAAACUAUUGAAUUUGAGUGUGUGGAUUUCAUAUUUUCAAUUGAUUAAACUGAGAUAAAUAAGUACAACAUUCAUAAAUAUACAGAUUUGAGAUAUAGACUUAGUUAAAUCUUGGAGAUAGUAUUGUUAUUUAUUUUCACGUAAAAAAGAUUUCAACCUGAAAAAGUAAUUGCGCACUUCUAAACUUUGAUACUCACUAUUUUAAUAUAUUGAUUCCUAAACAUAGAUGGACACAUUACUUUGAAUAUAAAUAUCACAUAGUAGUAGUAUUUAAUACACAGUUUAAAAGGUUAUCCAUUUUAUUAUAUUUUUUCAGAAGGUAAAAUAAACAAAUGCACGUUCAUACAUUGUCCAAUGGGUGCUAGCAUGGUACAGAGCCUGUUUUCUCAUGAAUGUCAAUGGUGUAGUAUUUAAUGUAUUGAAGUUUUAUAUCUAGAGGACUAUUGAACGGUGAACCUAUUUAAACCAUUCCUUUUUUACAACGACUUCUAUUUAAGUUUAAACAAAUUAUAUUUGGAUAGAACAAUAUUACUUUUGACAUUAUUAAAAAAUAUGAAAUGUUUUUUAUACUCUUAUUUAAUUUAAUAAUAGUAACGCUGUAUAAUUUGAAUUCACUCAAAACGGGAUGGUGUGAGCGUGCAUGCCUGUGUGCGCGUUGUGAACCACUAGAAAAAGUUGAAAGACGACACUAUUCAUCCAGCAGUUUGAGAAAAUGAAAGUUUUAGUCAGAAAAGUUGAAAGCUAUAAAAGGAGAGGCAAUAAUAGAAUAGUAAUGCUUGCAUACUGGCAGGAGGAUGAAGUUCAUCUUUCAGCCAGUCAGGUGAAGUAACCUGAUUCAGCUGUUCUUCUCCACCACAAAUCUACCCACAAUAAAACAAACCAAACACACACCAAAGCUCCAAGCUUAGCACCCAUUAUCUUUUUUCUCUCAACUGACUGAAAGAAAAUGAACCAGGUCAGACGAUCAAAAAUCAAAUCCAACGUCUUUUUCUCUAGAAACCAGUAAUUCUAAACUAUGAUGAUCAUAUAUAUAUAUAAAGAUCAGAUUUUUGCUCCUUAUCUUUUCUGGGUUUUUAGCUGAAUUUAAACAGGGUUAAAAGGAAAGAGUUUUGGGUGUUUGGAAGAAAAUCUACGAGGAAAAGAAAAGAUGGUUGAAGAAUUGUAAAAGACUAUAGAUGCGUUUAUGACCAAGCAAAGACUUUGAACUGAUUUGGGUCUUCUUCGAUAGAGUUAGUUAUGGAUUGGGAUUGAGAUUGAGGCGGCGAGGAAGACAACGGCAGCGGGACAGCAGGAGGAGGAGGAAUAAUCGGAUGAUAUUGAGGGGGAGUUGGGAUGGUAUUUUCUAGUGUUUUGAAGGAUUUGGGUUCUGUAAUUUAGGGCAUUGAAAUGGGGAUGGUGUUGCUACCUCUGCCGUCAGUGGUGGUGAUGCUGCCGCCCUUUGGUGGUGGUGCCACUGCGGCGGCGGCCGAUUGUGGGGAGGUCGAUCCAGAAGCAGGAAACAAGGAGAGAGAGAGAGAGAGUUGUGACCACGGUGUUCCUGCUGUGCAUUUUUCAAUCAUUUCUUUAGGUCAGAAAUUUCUUAAUUUCCUAGAAUCAUCUAAAUUUGAUUACUCAAUUCAAAAAUCUUGCCAUCUUUUUAAAAACUAGUCACGAACUUAGAGAAGAUGGAAACAAUGAGAGAGAUUAAGAGGUGCUAGAGAGAGAAAGUUGAACGAGUGUUCUUGCUGUUCAUAUUUUGACAAAUACAAAAUUUGUUUGUUCUAAACGAGUUUGUUGGGCAGUAGAGAUUAGAUAGUGUCAAGGAGAAACAUGUUAAACCCGAAAAAAAAAUGGGCAUUGCCCGUAUUAAUAUCAUUUUUUGUUGGGGACGAGUGUCAAAAUAUUAGAAGGCCACGGAUGAAAGCAUUACUCAUACUAGAAACCACUGAUAGAAAGCACUUUUAAAAAAAAAAGUAGUAACUAGCUGCAAUCUUCCUUCACAGCCAGAUUUUCCAUAGCAUAUUCUUCUUCUGCUGCGUUGAGUUUUGUGUGUGUUUGUAAUCCAUCUCCGGUUUAAAUCCAGACUUGGUUUCUACAAAUUUUUAAGCUUAUUAGAGAUACGAAAAUUGUUAUUUUUAAGGUUAGAAAAACUGAUUAAACCUUAACAACAAACUUAAUCGAAUGUCAUUAGUAAAACAUAUAUAUAUAUAUAUUUAUAUAUUUAUAAAAUUAAAUAAUAUAAUAUUGGUAUGAAAAUCGAUACUUUGCAUUUUAGUGGCAUUUAAUGAUAUUUUUGUCAUUUCAUAUCAAAAUAUAAAGUUAUUCAAGUCUUUAAAUACAAUAAACGACAGUUUAAUUAUUUUUUAAAUUUUAAUUAAUAAUAAGAGAUGUCGUUAAAGCACACACCUCAAAGCAGUAACUAGAUGCAAUCUUCCUUCACAGCCAGAUUUCAUCGUCAUUUUCCAUAGCACAUUCGAUCUUCAUCUGCUGCGUUGAGUUUUGUGGUGUAAAAUCACAGUUAGAGUCCAACGAUUGCAUAAUAAAAAGGCUCAUCACCAGGGUAUUAAUUUUUCCGUUACUUUUCAAUCAUUAUUGAAAUAGAGUCCAUAACAAAAAUCAAUCAUCAUUGAAUACACUUUACAACAAAAAUUUUAUUUCUAUUUCGGAUAAAAAUAUAAACACAGAACAAAACAAUUAUCAGUCAGGUCCUUCAUGUAACACUAAUUAAUUAAUUUAUAUAUAUAUAUAUAUAUAUAUAUAUAUA